CGGAGACGGACAGUGGGACGGUGUCGUUGCUGACGAUGGCGAACAGGACUCCUGUGCUGCUGGAUGGACGGAUGUUCAGCUCCAAGUCUACUUUCCAAGACUCCGCUACACCUAGACAAGCAUAAAAGACAACAGAGGCUGGGAAGGAUUCUGCGAUCUGUCCACAGAGAUAACCGUGAAAUCGGCUCCUGGUGUCAGAUAUUAAAUCACACUGGACAGUGACUGGGACAAACACAGCCUGCUCUAUACCACAGACGGAUAGAAGCCACUCGCCCAAGGAGCAGUAAACCACAGCAGCUCUAUGACUCUCAGGGGGCAGGUUCACGAUUUGUGGUUUUC